CCAGCUGCAGAGCAGCCAAGACCCGCAGGCAGCUGGAGCCCGACACGCAGCCCAGGCUGGGCCAGGGCAGAGGAGCGCAGGAGCGGCAAAGCCCCGCGUCUGCACGGAGGAGGAGAGACAGAAGCUCUGGGACUCCUUGCGCAAGAAGUACCAGCAGAAGGCAAGGCGAAGGAGGAGAGAGCCAUGGCAGCGCUGAAGGCUGGCAAAGAGCAGGGAGAGCCAUGGCAUGCCCAGAGCAGCCACCUGCCUCCUCCGGAAGGCAGAGGGAAGAGCCCAUUGCCCUGGUGCUGAGGAGGACUCCCUCAGGUAAAGAUCUCUGAAGAUGGCAGGUGUUUGCCCUGCCCGGCAGCGCCCUUCCUUCCUCUGACUCCCCACAGCCCCUGGGCAAAGAGGUCUCCUCCUGACAGCCCUGUGGGUGUGGAGAGCAGCAGGCCGGGCUUGCGGCACAGGGACCGUGGGCCUGCUCUCUCCAGGGGCAGAUCCCACCACGUGUGCUGUGUUGCUAGACCCGCAGUGUUGCUCUGCACCUCUCUGUGCAUCCAAGACUGCAGAGCUUCGUGUGCAGCUCCUCAGCUCUGCGGCGCAGAUCCCGCCCGCGUCGGUGAGUGCCGGGAGAGCCCCUGGGGCACAGAGGCUGCCCAGAGAGAUGUCCAGCAGGAGCCUCCUCCAGCAGGGCUGGGCAGGCAGGCUGUGGGCAGCAGCACUUCCCCCUGUUGAGUAAAGUCUC